CGCGGUGCGAGUCGGGAAGGCGGCGGGCGGGUGCGGCCCUCGGCGGCGGAGGGCGCCAUGGUCGGUGGCGAGGCGGCUGCCGCGGUGGCGGAGCUGGUUUCGGGGGUGCGGCAGGCGGCUGACUUCGCGGAGCAGUUCCGCUCCUACUCGGAGAGCGAGAAGCAAUGGAAGGCUCGCAUGGAAUUCAUCCUGCGCCACUUGCCCGACUACCGCGACCCGCCAGAUGGUGGUGGCCGCUUGGACCAGCUGCUGUCCCUCUCCAUGGUGUGGGCCAACCACCUCUUCCUGGGUUGCAGUUACAACAAAGACCUUUUAGACAAAGUGAUGGAAAUGGCUGAUGGGAUUGAAGUGGAAGACCUGCCACAGUUUACUACCAGAAGUGAAUUAAUGAAAAAGCAUCAAAGCUAAUGCAGAAGAUUCAUCACAUUUUCAACAUCAGCUUAGGAAGGAGGCUGGGAUGAAUGUGACAUUGACCACGGCAGCUCUCUUAAGAUUCCUGCCUUCAAGACACCACAGAAUCUGUCCUGCAUUCCAGGAAGAAUGACAACUAAAUGGUACAGGUUGAUGGAGCCUGAGGAGAUCCUUUCAGAGAUAGGCUCUGGUUCCCUCUAGACAAGUACUCAACCCCGUGGCACUUUAAGGAUCCCAGUCUUUCAGGUAAGAGUUUAGAUAGCUAACCUCCCCCCAAAAGCCUGCAGAAGGCAUCAUACUUGUAACCAACACCAUCACCAUAUAAAGACCUAACUAACUAAAAGGUUAUUUGCUUUUUCUCAGCACAGUACACACUCUGGAGUCUUUUCAAAAGUGUCACUGACAUGUCACCGAUAAACAAAAGCAUUAUGUGGCCAAUCUUUAGCACUCAAAUCACUGGCAGUUCCUGAAAGUCAUUCCAUUCGGGCUUUUUACCCAAGUCUGAAUUCUCCAUAUGCCAAAGAGGAAGCUUGAAGCCCUUCCUUCCAGGAUUCUUGAUUUCAACCAGCAAGGAGCACUAAUGUUGAGCUUGACAUGAGUCAUAUACUCAAAAAGGUUUGCAAAAGGCACAGCUCAUUUGUCUUUUUGGCCAACUAAAAAAAGCCCUAGCCCAUGCUAUGACAGGAAAUGUACAAACCUCAAGACACUAUUAACAAAACUGUUUUAAACCAAUGCAGUUGAGGGAUAGGGGAGGUGGAGAAAUGACUCAAAGAGGAAUGGCACACGCACUUGUAUCUUCUUUUUCAGAGGACAGAGAAAAAAGUAAAUUCAACAGUAAAACUUUGUUUCUAAUCUCUUUCCUCUAAUAUGUCAUAUACUUGAAUAAUUAAAGGUAACUAAUCUUUACUCUUAGCUGACAACAGCUCAGUUUUUUCCUAACUAGAUGGGAACUGAAGUAACAGGGCUACUGUCUUGGCACAAGGCCCUUGCCCUAUGGACAAUUUCAUUUACCUUUAAUAGCUGUGCAACCACUGACUUUUUAAUUUACAUAAUAAUCCUCACAUAACUGAGAUUCCUUUGGGACUUUGCAUUGCUAAAUGCAAUAGAAAGGAAUUGUAAUAAAUACCACCAAGACCUAAAAAGUUGAUUGCUAUCUUUUAAAAUCUGGAAUUGAGAGAUCAAAAUACCUUAAACAAAACUCUAAACUGCUAUAUAAACCCCAGGGGGUUCUUUCUUAAGCGUACUAAAUGAAUAAAUUAAGUAGACUUUGUUUACUCAGCACAAAAUACUGUUAACUAAGGCACCUUUAAUAGAUUUCUUCUCCAGUACCUUCUACCUACAGGAGUCAGAAUUUUUACAUCAGUUUCAGAAGUUAUUCAUGGAACUUUUUUAUUGGGUGGUUGGGGUUGGGGAGGGGAGAGUACUGACUCAAGAAUAGUUCCAUGAAGGGGUUAAAAUGUGCUCUAUUGUUAAGUCAUAGUCUUUUAUAUCAGAGAGCAGAAAGUGUUCCUAUAUCCAGACUUUACUUGUUUACCAAAAAAGAAAAAAAAAAGGGGGAGGUAGAAAAUAAUGGUCAAGAAAACCUCUUCACUGGAUAGAUAUAAAUCUGUACAUAAUUCUAAAUCAACUAAAGUAUUAUAGAUUUUCUAAAACUGUGAACUUAAUUCCUUAAUAUUUCCUAAGGGGCAGUACAGUUCUUGGGUAAAAGACCAGAUUGGCCAGGUACAAAUCCCAGCUCUAUCACUUGCUAGUUGGUUGACCUAGACCAAGUCACUUUAUCUCUGUGUACCUAAUUCUUCAUCUGUAACAUAAUGGUUAGCUACCCUCACAGGAUUACUGUGAGUUUGAAAGUGAUCAUAUGUUCAAGUGUUUUGAAUAAUGCCAUGCAUGUAGAGCAUUCCAUUGUUACAGGGUGCUGGCACCUGGGUGACUCAGUCGGUUGAGCAUCUGACUUCAGCUCGGGUCAUGAUCUCACAUUUUGGGAGUUCAAGCCCCACAUCGGGUUCACCACUGUCAGCACAGAGCCCGCUUCCGAUCCUCUGUCCCCCUCUAUCUGCCCCUCUCCCGCUGUGCUCUCCCCCAAAAUAAAUAAAUAUGGGGGAAAAAAAAGUACUUUUACAGAGGAAAAUGCAUCAUAAAUGGAUUUAAACUUCAGCAUGAAUCCAACUUCAUACCAAAAUAAGUAACUUAGUUCUAGCCUCUUGCCAUACAUUUAUAAAAUUUACCUAGUUUACACAUUUUUUUGUAUGAUCUAACCUUAUAAAUAGAGGGUUUUCAUCUAGUACUCAACCAAAGAAAUAGGACUCUGUUCCAAGGCUGAAGAAAAUACCUGAGGGGUAAUUGGGAGAGGAAUAUUCCUAAGAAUUUUCUCUACUGGGAAUGUUGAGUUUCAUGGUAGGAGUUUUAGGUUGUGAAUUUAGGACUUGGAGCUCACAGACUCCCUGCAAAGUGAGAUGUAACCCUCUUAUAAUUAUCAAUACCUGAAAUGUUUCAAUUUUAGAUGGGAAGAGGAAAACAGAUUAAGGUAAAAAUAAAUUUUGAAGCAGUAACCAAAUAGCAUUUAAUGAAAUAAGAGGGGAGACUCUCAUACCUACUGUGUAUUUAAAAAUAAGAGUCAGUCAGUCACUGGAGUAAUGUCUACGGGAACUAUAAUUUGUCUGAGAGCUGAAUAUGAAAGCAUCACACAUUUGAUGUGACCAAAAAGUACCUUUAAACUUUUUUUUUUUUUUGGCCAUUAAUUCCAGUGAGUGGACUCUCAUUUGUAUGAAAAGCUUCCUAAGAUCAUACUUACUCCAAAAUUUGCCAAGUAAUAACUUUUAAAGGGAAACAUCCUUCCAGUGUUAAACUUUGCUUAAUAGAAGCUGUACAUGUUGCUAUCCUACAGUCUUCCAACAGAGAAGCAGCUACUAGCUUACUAAGCUGUUAAGAAUAGGACAAGAAACUACUGGGGUUACUCAAUAGCUGUUUUAACUGAACUAGAAAGACUACACAGGUGGUUCAACAGAAUUUACUUGUAUAUUUUCCAUUUUCUGUGCUAUUUGAAGGCAUAGGAUAGCUUUGUAUUAGCUUUCUACAAUACUGUGUUUUAAAUUUAUCCAGUAAACUAAGAUGCAGUACAACUUUUAUACAACUUAGGAGAUAAAAAAAAAAAAAAAAAAUCUCCACAA